AAACAACCCUUGUGUGAGAAGCUGUUCAAUAUUUUACCUUCUCCUCUCUGUUUGUGUGGUCCCAAGCUUAUUCGCUGAACACCAUUCGCUUCUUGCUGAAGUGAGCAGUGCGGGUGUCUCUCUCAGUGGGAGCUGACAAUUUGAUGAUACUUCAUCAGUGUGGGACUCCUGCUGAGAAGUAGAUUGAGACAAAGGAAAUGCCUCUCACUAUUGGAACAAAUAAGAAAUCAGAUUUUCUAAGUUAUUGCUAGGUAGAUGCUUUCUCAGGAGACCAUGGGAGAACAUUGUAACACCAGUAACAUCAGUCUUAUUGGUGGAAUUACCCUGCCCUCCGUCUCUGGGGCUUUGUGCCUGGAUCCUGCUGACCCGCAAAGACAUAUCUGCAUUUUCUGUAGCUUUGCUGUACUCCCUUGAGAUCUUUCUUGGAUACCAAGUCCUGAACAGCCUGCAGUACAGGCCACAGCUCAUGAUGUCCAGCUGACUUUUACUGCCAUAAACAGGAUGAUAUUUGUUUAAUUUAGUGAAAUAAAUGCCUCUCCUAGCUGUUUGGAAAGCAAAUCCCUCCUUACCCUCUAGCUGGUAUUUGCUGUACUUGAGUGAGGCUGGUAAAAAGCUUGGGUUAUAAUUGAAUGCUGCUAUGUUUGUGCAGAACCAACAAGCUUUCUUAAUGCUUCUUAGGGCUUUUUAAGCCAAGGAACUGCUCUUUUCCUUGCCAGAGCUCUCCAGUGCCUUAACAGCAUUGCACGCAGCAGAUCUUCAAACAGGGACAGCAAGCAAGACUGAAGCAGCAGGUACUGCCGCAGAGCAUAAUAAUACAUUUGUGCAGGACUUUACAGAGCUUUCUCAAGUUCCUCACAACAGUCACACAGCACCUCUUCGGUAUUUAGCAACAAGAACUGCCUGUGGUCCCACUAGCACAGCGCUACUAAAUGGUAGAUCUGUGCCCCCCACCUAGGCCUUCUCUUUUCUGUAGGUCUUUGCUAUAAUCCUUAUCCCAAUGUGAAAAAUUUGGACUUUGCUGUUAGCAGGCAUCUGGACAGCUCUACAGAUAUCCAUGCUGACUGACUCCUGAGAGACUAUUUACAAUUCCAGUGCUUUUGAGCACAAUGAUGUUUUUUUCCAUUGCCUUCAGCAGCAGCAGGAGCAAGUCUUAGUACUGAGAAAAACUGCAGAGAUAUGAGGCCAAAAUGAGCGGUGAUUAAAUGAGUGGAAGCUUCCAAACAAGACCGAGACCCGAAGUCUCAGAUUUUUUGCCUCUUCUCAUCCAGCUCCACAGAGGGUCUGAAUUUAGUCAUCCCCGGCUCCAGGGGACAGGAGACACCGUGGAGCCAUUUUAACUUCAGCAGCAAGAUGCUUUGGCUCUGAGCUCUGGUGGGCCCCUUCCUAGAGCUGCAGAGAUACCUCAGGAGCCUGAGGUAGCAGACCAGUCAGGCUCAAGAUUUGUUGAAGACAACGGGAACGAGCUUGCUGUCUCAUGAUUUCCAACCAAGGAGAAGCAGCAGCAACCAGAGCAUAUCCAUUUCUGAAGUAAGGUUAAAUAAAUGCUGUUAGCUGAUGACUAGCAGUCGUGCACAAAUGCUUUCAUAAGAAGAUCCCUCUUUGCAAUUAGCAAAGAAAUGCAUUGCAUCUGCCACCAUUCUGCGCUCACCCCCUCCUCAUGUAUAACUUCUAAAUAAAGGAUUGAGAGUACCAAAUAAAAUAAAUAAAAAGGAAUAAUGUCUAUUAGUACCUGCCUCUGGAUUUAAAAGGAAGGGCAGAUUACUCAGAGAGAAUACAAGAAAACUUUCCUUACAUCAACAAAUAAUUCAUGAUGUGUAUAUGAGUAUCCAGCAACUCUAUUAUUGCAGUAGCGUGACAAAUAUUGUGAGAGGGACAGCAAAUGGGACGUAUCAUUCUACUGUCUUGACAAAGAUUAUAGCAAGAACGGGAAACGGGACAAAUGUAACUCAUUCUGGAGACAGUCCCAGAGCUGUAAUCUCAUUUGUUCUUCAGCAUGAAUUAUACAGCAGUGCAGAGGAUGGGAAUGUGAUUUUCACCAUGUUGUAUACUUUAAUCACUUUUCUUUGCUACUAAACAAAUAACUCAAUGUGAAAUGCUGAUAAAUGGGGGAUAUUAGUUUUUGAACUAUGAACUAAAUGAACAGAAGAAAGCUGCAAUGUAAGAGUUCUGCCGGUUCCAUUAAAAUUUGAUAUGGGACAAAUUCAGCUCAGGUUCAGGCAAACAGAAUUCCUGCAGAUUUCUGAGAAUCAUCUGCCAUGUCCUGGAGUGCAGCUGGACCCAUGCCCUUGCCUUCCUUAGCUUGGAAUUGGGCCUUUUGGAGAUCAUUCCAGAGCUGGGUGUCUGCUUGGUGGGAAGUCUUGAUCUGGAAGCUAUGGUGGAAAAAAACUCUGGUUGCAAAGUCCCAUUGGACCUAACUCUUCUGGCAUGAAUAGGGGGCAGCUUGACUGUUGUUUAUGCCAACAGCUGAUUUGAAUGUUGUUUGGUGUGGAAAGGCAACAUUUGAAGCUCCACAGGGGGUUUAAUCCAAGCUGAAAUCCUUAGGUAAUCCAUUCUGUAGUAGAAGACAGCUAAGAAGCUCCCUAAGGUACGUGUAGUUUUCCAGUACUCAUCUCCUGGGUAAGGGGGACUUUGUGAAAGUCAUUAUUAAGGAGAGGAAGAACUAGCUAUUUUGUGAUAUAUUUGUGUGAUAAGCCAUUUCCAGGGUAGCUUACAGUCCCUCUAAAACAUCUCUGUAUGAAAUCCCUUAGGUUUCUUCUGCAUGCUUAGCUGGCAGUUCUGAGCCAGACUGAAGAAUGCGUUUCCCCCUUUUCCCUUUGUGUUUGCUACUUCUAACUCCAAGGCACCACAAGCAGGUGAAGGGCUGACAUGACCACCAGUGAAUUAGGCUGCUAUGACAACAGCGAGAGCAAAGAGACAACCUGGGCCCUGAAUUUAUGUAAAUGGAAUUUCCAUGUUCCAGGUGGCUAGAGGGCUUGAAGUGACAAACGAUCCUUCCUGAAGGUAGAUGAGAAUAUCAGGACUCCCCUGGCGUGCAAGCAAUCACGGCGUAUGUGGGAAAGCAGGAGACAAAGUUUUGUUUUUGAAUCUCAAGUGCACUGUGAUGACAAUGCAAGCAGUGGAGUGGCUCGUGUGAAUCCAAAAUCAGCGUAUGUGAGCACUGGAGGAACAGUCUGGGCUCUGUAGGAGGCUGGUAUGGUUUAGAGCAGAGAAUUGCCUUUGAAAACUUUAGGAACUGAAACUCAGUUCUUCCUGUGCUGCAGAAUGGGAGACAAAACAUGCCAAGUCCUACUUUUACCCAUGGUUCAACCCUGAUCUUAACUUUUAGGAUCAGGUUUUCAAAAUCAGUUGAACAUAAUGGGACAUGUGCCAAUGUCUGCACAAAUCCAGCCUACACUGCCAAUUACUGCGGACUGUGCAUCCAGUUUCCUACCUGCCUCAGCCCCACUGGGGAGCGGGGAGGGUUAGCUGGUUAAUGCUGCGAACUGGUAAAUGCCGCGGUGCUCGCUGGGCAGCAGCAGUGUCAGCCCCACCGGGUGGAAGCUGGGGGACAACAGAACUCUUUUGUAUAACGCUGGAUCAUUGCCUCACUGGGAAGCAGACAGCCUUUGGAUGGACAAGCUCAAGUUCUGCUAGGGAUCCCAGAUUACACUUUGAUUUCAUCAGCUUUCUGAGAAAGCUGCUGAGAUUGGGCCAGCAAAGGAAGAAUGAGAAGGAUUUUUCCUGGCAAGUUGAAAGGCCUGAGAAGACAAAAGAAUGUGUUAAGAUUGUUCAUCUUCUCUAGAGUACAAGAGCUUCUUUUUUAAAAAAAAUAUUAUUUUAUUUAUGAAUGAAUAGGGAGGAUAUUUGGGGUGGCAAGAAUGCUUCCUUAAACACAAUUUUUCCAACAAACUGACCUUUCAGGAAAAGCGGGCAUGGACAAUGUCCAGGGUCUGAAACACCAUGGUGAGUUUAGAGUAACAUGAGUGAAGUAAGACGGUUUAUUUAAGAUUUAUGGUUGCUCUAGGUCAGACCAAAAUUUAUUAGUCUAGGACUGUAAUUCCCUUGAGUCCUGGCAGGUCUCCAGGCUGCAGUGAUCUCAGUUUCUCAGAGGACAGAUCUGAAAGCAACGUCUCAAAUAAUGAAAUAUUAAAUUCCUGUUAUUUAAAGACAAAACCAAAAAUAAAAUCCUUCAUUUGCAGUGCUACUACAAGGUGCACCUCUCCACGCCAUGCAUAACAGCUGUAGCAGCUGGAGGCCAACAAACCUACACAGCCAGAAGUUGCCUUCUGAGGGAGGAAACCCCAUUUCCUUUUAGCAAAAGUCACAAAAUCUAUGCCCUUUCCCAUAGCAGCUAGCCAAAGCCAUGCCAGCAAACAGGGCACUGCACUGAGGCAGUGCUCAAGACCUCCCAGGUGCUUUGGUCUAUGAAAGACUCCCCUCUCUGAGAUAGAAAUAAGAAAGAUGAGUUGCCUGAAGCCAUCUCGUGAAGGAUUGAGCCCCUGGCCAGGCACUAGGCAGGGGGAAUCAUAUCAAAGAGUUUCCAUGUACCCACCUAUUUCAAGAGAAAGUAUUCAGCCUUUCCCAGCCUUUCUUUGCUAGAAAAGUGCCAGAGCUGCUACUGCUUCCUCUAUAGCCAAAGAGCAAAAAUGGUGUGAAAAGACCAAAUGAGUUUGUUCACUCCAGAUUUCAUCUGGCUUCAUGGCCAUGUGCUGGAACAACGAUCUGGGCUCCUUUGCCUUCUGUGAUGCCUGGUAAGUCAACGGGCUCUUGGCAAGACUCCUUGUGGUUAGGGCCAGUUUACACUACCACGAGUU